rnacentral:rRNA from 1 species
UACGUAGGGGGCAAGCGUUGUCCGGAAUUAUUGGGCGUAAAGCGCGCGCAGGCGGUCAUUUAAGUCUGGUGUUUAAUCCCGGGGCUCAACCCCGGGUCGCACUGGAAACUGGAUGACUUGAGUACAGAAGAGGAGAGUGGAAUUCCACGUGUAGCGGUGAAAUGCGUAGAUAUGUGGAGGAACACCAGUGGCGAAGGCGGCUUUCUGGCCUGCUCUUGACGCUGAGGCGCGAAAGCUAGGGUAGCAAACGGG